GGCUUGCCUGAUUUUCGGUUCGAAACCAUCCCCGAUGGCCUUCCGGACUCAGAUGAAGUUGCAACGCAAGAUGUCACUUUGCUUGCUGAGGCCGUUGUAAAAGAUGGUUUCUUGGCUCCGUUUCGUAACCUCCUCAUAAAACUUCAAGGACGCAGCAACUUCCAAUAAUAAUCCUCCAGUGACUUGCAUUGUUUCCGAUGGUUUCAUGUCGCCGUUCGCAAUCAAAGCUGCCGAAGAAUUUGGACUCCCUAUUGCACUCUUCUUCACUAUUGCUGCAUGCAGCUUCAUGGGAUUUAAACAAUUUCGCGCUUUGGUCGAAAAAGGACUUGCACCACUCAAGGAUGAGAGCUGGUUAACGAAUGGAUUUUUGGACUGAACUGAAUGCCUCCAAUGGCUGAACUCCAAGGCACCAAACUCAGUUGUUUAUGUGAACUUUGGGAGCA